rnacentral:tRNA from 12 species
GCGGAUGUAGUUCAAUGGUAGAACAUCAGCUUCCCAAGCUGAAUACGCGGGUUCGAUUCCCGUCAUCCGCUC